AUUGAACGCUGGCGGCGUGCCUAAUACAUGCAAGUAGAACGCAGUUGCGAACGGGUGAGUAACGCGUAGGUAACUGCCUCAUAGCGGGGGAUAACUAUUGGAAACGAUAGCUAAUACCGCAUACUGUGAGAUGGACCUGCGUUGUAUUAGCUAGUUGGUGGGGUAACGGCUCACCAAGGCGACGAUCCCUAGCUGGUCUGAGAGGAUGACCAGCCCAACUGGAACUGAGAAACGGUCCAGACUCCUACGGGAGGCAGCAGUAGGGAAUCUUCGGCAAUGGAAGAAAGUCUGACCGAGCAACGCGGCGUGAGUGAAGAAGGUUUUCGGAUCGUAAAACUCUGUUGUUAGAGAAGCGGUAUCUAACCAGAAAGCCACGGCUAACUACGUGCCAGCAGCCGCGGUAAUUC
rnacentral:rRNA from 1 species